rnacentral:lncRNA from 1 species
CACGAACCCAGACCAACUCCGGACACAUCUGAACAUCUGAAGUUCCCUGGUAUGACUUAGCUGAUAGCUCAUCCUUCACAAGAAUGCUUACAUGAAUGGCACCCGAGUUGGAAGGAAAAAAGAUCCAGUGGAUCAUUUCAGAAUUUAGUUUGGCUCUCCCCACACAGGAUUUAACCAGGCUGACAGAUUCAGCACAGGAAAGUAUUUUAAUGUAAUGAUAUACCACCACUUCUAGACCCAAUGACAAGAUGAAAAUCCAAGAGCAGGCAUAAAACACCU